rnacentral:tRNA from 1 species
AAGGAUUUAGUUUAAAAUUAAAACAUUAGUUUGUCAGGUUGAAGAUAAAAUUUUAUUUAUUCCUUU